rnacentral:rRNA from 1 species
GUUUACAAGCAGACAAAGCACGUUAAGGUGCGAUGUCGUACUUUUUGUAGAACGGUCCGGCGAGUUACGUGUAUGAUGCGAGGUUAAAUACUGUGUAAGGUAUGAAGCCGAAGGGAAACCGAGUGUGAAUAGCGCGAAGAUAUAGUAUCAUGCAGUAGACCCGAAACCGAGUGACCUAUCCAUGAGCAGGUUGAAGCUUGAGUAAAAUCAAGUGGAGGACCGAACCGGUAUUCGUUGAAAAGGAUUCGGAUGACUUGUGGAUAGCGGAGAAAUUCCAAUCGAACUCGGAGAUAGCUGGUUCUCCUCGAAAUAGCUUUAGGGCUAGCCUUGUUUAGUAGCAUGUGGAGGUAAAGCACUGAAUAUGUGAGGGUUCUUACCAGAAUACCGAUCAUUAUCAAACUCUGAAUGCCAUGUGUGUAAGAACAGGAGUCAGACAGUGACAGCUAAGUGCCAUUGUCAAAAGGGAAAGAGCCCAGACCAACAGCUAAGGUCCCAAAAUUGUAGUUAAGUGGAAAAGGAUGUGGGAAUUCAUAGACAACCAGGAUGUUGGCUCAGAAGCAGCCAUUCAUUUAAAGAGUGCGUAAAAGCUCACUGGUCGAAGUAGGCCUGCGCCGAAAAUUACCGGGGCUAAACUACAUACCGAAGCUUUGGAUUUGGUACGUAAAGUAUUAAGUGGUAGAGGAGCGUUGUAUAAAGAUUGAAGCUAUACUGAAAAGAGUAGUGGACGAUAUACAAGAGAGAAUGCCGGAAUAAGUAGCGAGAGCACAGUGAGAAUCUGUGCCGCCGAAAACCUAAGGUUUCCUGGGGAAGGUUCGUCCGCCCAGGGUAAGUCGGGACCUAAGACGAGGCUAAAGCAGCGUAGUCGAUGGAAAGCAGGUAAAAGAUUCCUGCACUACCGAAAUGCGAUAUACAAUAUAUCAUGACGCAUCAGAAGAGUCUAAGCGAGCAAAUGGAAAAGUUCGUACCGCAAGGUGGAGUGAAAAAUAGUAACGAAGUAGAUAAAUCAGGUGACAAGAAAAGUGAUAUAGGAGCAUAGAGGUACUCGUACCGUAAACCGACACAGGUAGGAAGAAAGAGAAUUUUCAGGCGAACGAGAGAAUCAUUGUUAAGGAACUCGGCAAAUUAACCCCGUAACUUAGGGAUAAGGGGAGCCAAUAGCGAUAUUGGUCGCAGAGAAAUGGUCCAAGCAACUGUUUAGCAAAAACACAGGUUUCUGCCAAAUCGAAAGAUGAAGUAUAGGAGCUGACGCCUGCCCAGUGCUGGAAGGUCAAGGGGAAGAGUAAACGUUUCGAUGUGAAGCUCUGAACUUAAGCCCCAGUGAACGGCGGCCGUAACUAUAACGGUCCUAAGGUAGCGAAAUUCCUUGUCAGGUAAGUUCUGACCCGCAUGAAAGGCGUAAUGAUUUGGGCACUGUCUCAACAGCCCGCCCGGCGAAAUUGUAGUACCGGUGAAGAUGCCGGUUACCCGCGACAAGACGGAAAGACCCCAUGGAGCUUUACUGUAGCCUAAUAUUGGGUUUCGAUGUUGCAUGCACAGGAUAGAUGGGACACUGGGAAGCAAGUGCUUUGGCGCUUGUGGAGUGGCCGUUGGGAUACCAUCCUUGCGAUAUUGGAAUUCUAACCUGCGCCUUUGAAUCAAGGCGGGGGACAUUGUUAGGUGGGCAGUUUGACUGGGGCGGUCGCCUCCUAAAGAGUAACGGAGGCGUUCAAAGGUUCGCUCAGCUUGAACGGAAAUCAAGCAAAAGAGUGCAAACGCAGAAGCGAGCCUAACUGCGAGACUGACGGGUCGAGCAGUAACGAAAGUUGGAGUUAGUGAUCCGGUGGUAUGUGAGUGGAAAUGCCAUCGCUCAACGGAUAAAAGUUACCCUGGGGAUAACAGGCUGAUCUCCCCCAAGAGUCCACAUCGACGGGGAGGUU